CAGUGCCACGGGAAUACGUAGGUGGCAAGCGUUGUCCGGAAUUAUUGGGCGUAAAGGGCUCGCAGGCGGUUUCUUAAGUCUGAUGUGAAAGCCCCCGGCUCAACCGGGGAGGGUUAUUGGAAACUGGGAAACUUGAGUGCAGAAGAGGAGAGUGGAAUUCCACGUGUAGCGGUGAAAUGCGUAGAGAUGUGGAGGAACACCAGUGGCGAAGGUGACUCUCUGGUCUGUAACUGACGCUGAGGAGCGAAAGCGUGGGGAGCGAACAGGAUUAGAUACCCCGGUAGUCCCUGUCUCUUAUACA
rnacentral:rRNA from 1 species